ensembl:lncRNA
CAUUACAUACACUGCAAGCAUUGAUCGUCAAAAGGGACAAGGACCCUGAUCAAAGGUUUAUUUCAUUUGGUCGUAGCCAGGUUGCACUCGCAACAAGUGCUCUGUAGCCUUGUUUAAUAAAUGACCAGACAGGCUCAUCAGAAUUCAACUGAAAUAGGAAGUUAGUGGAGAGUAAUUCAAGGCAGAUUUAAGCAUAUCCGUCUGGAUCCCUGUGCUUCCACUCCACUGUAAUUGAUGGGGAAAUGUUAAUUAUGUUCCCAUAUAAUAACAAGACCUUGAAAAUGAAGUCAUCUUAAAAUCUCACACGAGCUAUGCUCUCUCCAGGAGUAUCAGUUUAGUAAUUUCUUGGGGGAAUGUGGCCACACAAAACUCACAGCACGAGCACGUCCGUGAACUUUGUUGGCUGUCAGGUUGUAGACUUCAUGUUUUGGCUAUCCUCUGAACACUUCUUUUGAAUUCCCAGGCUUGAGCUCGGUGACGGGAGCUCACAGACGCUGUCUAAUCGAGAGGGAAUGACAAACAGCCAGAUGGAUAAAGCUACAGAUUCAUGGAAUGACUGAAUCCUGUGGGCUUAAGAAUGCAGUCAUCUCUAAUCUGGAAUUUCACAUGAAUUUGCAUCAUAUUCAGGUUUGUUCAACUCUGAAAACUAAACUCUGCUUAAUUUGGAAGACACCAAUGGUGCUUCAAGCAUUGUACACAAUUAAGAAUAGACCUUCUUCACUAACUGCGCCUUUAUAAUGCUAGCAAAAAGUAGGCUAUGUGCAGGUUUGCAUGUGAACAUCUCACAUUAAUUUCUUUGACUCAGAAGACAUCAUAUACUAGUAUAACAUCAAAAGAUUGCUUAAAUUAUCAGUGCUGACAACAUUAAUAACCUGAUAUACAUUAAGGCUGUUUGUGUAAAUCAAGCAGCCCAUGCGUAGCACGUUCAUUAUCAGUUAUCAGACAUCAAGACUUCUUUGCUACUCAGCAUCUUCUCUAUGAUUCCUAGACAGCCCUGCAUUACAGAAAUACAAUAGCACAAUUAGUUUGCGGCAUCUUGCCUCGUCUUUACUGAAUGAUUAUGUACUACAUCUGAUUAGCCCUGAGGAAAUGAAGUAACAUGUCUUAACAGAAUGGCAUUCUCACAUGUGCUUUCCAUUCAGCCCAGCUGUUACCUGUCAUGGUUUUUUCUCUCUGUGUUUGAAGGAAUUGAUUAUUUAUUUCACUAAAAAUAUCAAAACAACCUUAAACAAGAUCAGUUUACAUUAAAAUCAAUGUUGCAUUAGAAA